GACGAACGCUGGCGGCGUGCCUAAUACAUGCAAGUCGAACGCAGUGGGGACGGGUGAGUAACACGUGGGUAACCUCCCAUCAGAGGGGAUAACACUUGGAAACAGGUGCUAAACCGAUACUGAUGGAUGGACCCGCGGUGCAUUAGCUAGUUGGUGAGGUAACGGCUCACCAAGGCCACGAUGCAUAGCCGGCCUGAGAGGGUGAUCGGCCACACUGGGAGUGAGACACGGCCCAGAGUCAUAAGGGAGGCAGAGGUUGGGAAUCUUCCAAAAUGGGCGAAAGUCUGACGCAGCCACGCCGCGUGAGUGAAGAAGGUCUUCGGGUCGUAAAGCUCUGUUGGUAGAGAAGCGGUACCUAAACAGAAAGCAACGGCUAACUACGUGCCAGCAGCCGCGGUAAUUC
rnacentral:rRNA from 1 species